rnacentral:ncRNA from 1 species
GAUAACAGGCUUAUCUUGCCCAAGAGAUCACAUCGACGGCAAGGUUUGGCACCUCGAUGUCGGCUCAUCGCAUCCUGGAGCUGGAGUCGGUUCCAAGGGUUGGGCUGUUCGCCCAUUAAAGCGGUACGCGAGCUGGGUUCAAAACGUCGUGAGACAGUUU